rnacentral:ncRNA from 1 species
GAUAUUGGUUCUCAAUUUGCUGUGGCAGAGUUGAGAUUAAAAGGGAAUCGGGUGCAAAUCCCGGACAGUCCCGCUGCUGUAAGUUUUAAGCAAUGCUUUGGUGCACUUUGUUAUGAUUUAACCACUGUUGGAAAAGUCCAAUGGGAAGGUAUAACGGAGAAAACGAGUCAGAAGACCUGCCGUAUCG